rnacentral:rRNA from 1 species
UACCUGCAGCCCGAGUGGUGCUCGUUAUUAUUGGGUCUAAAUCGUCCGUAGUCGGUUGGGUAGAUGCCUGGGUAAAUCGAGGCGCUUAACGUCUCGAAUUCCAGGUAGACCGCCCGGCUUGGGAUCGGGAGAGGUGCAAAGUACUCCGGGGGUAGGGGUAAAAUCCUGUAAUCCUCGGGGGACUACCAGUGGCGAAGGCGUUGCACUAGAACGAGUCCGACGAUCAGGGACGAAGCCCUGGGGCGCAAACGGG